GACGAACGCUGGCGGCGUGCCUAAUACAUGCAAGUAGAACGCACAGUUUAUACCGUAGCUUGCUACACCAUAGACUGUGAGUUGCGAACGGGUGAGUAACGCGUAGGUAACCUGCCCGGUAGCGGGGGAUAACUAUUGGAAACGAUAGCUAAUACCGCAUAAUAUUAAUUAUUGCAUGAUAACUAAUUGAAAGGUGCAAUUGCACCACUACCAGAUGGACCUGCGUUGUAUUAGCUAGUAGGUGAGGUAACGGCUCACCUAGGCGACGAUACAUAGCCGACCUGAGAGGGUGAUCGGCCACACUGGGACUGAGACACGGCCCAGACUCCUACGGGAGGCAGCAGUAGGGAAUCUUCGGCAAUGGACGAAAGUCUGACCGAGCAACGCCGCGUGAGUGAAGAAGGUUUUCGGAUCGUAAAGCUCUGUUGUAAGAGAAGAACGGGUGUGAGAGUGGAAAGUUCACACUGUGACGGUAUCUUACCAGAAAGGGACGGCUAACUACGUG
rnacentral:rRNA from 1 species